rnacentral:sRNA from 1 species
AUCAUAUCGAGCAAGAUCGAGGGACUGC